CGGGCCACGGCGCUCGCGCCCAGCACCUCCCUCGGCUCCUACUCGUCGUCGUCGCCGAGGCCGUCCAGGUCGUCGCGGCUGCGGCGGGGGCGGCGGCGGUGCGGGCGGAGGCGGCGGAGGCGGUACGGCGUUUCGAAGGCCGAAAGAAGAGGAGGGCGGCGCCCCCGAGCAGCGGCGCCCGCCUCCUGCUCCCCUGCCUAAACCCCUCCCCUGCCUCCUCCCUCCGCACGUGUCCCUUCACUAUAUGAGCUGUCGAGGCGGAGGCGAAAGGAAAAGAAGGGGCGAAACGGGAAAGAAAAAAGAGGGGAGGGAGGGAGCGGCCAAAAUAGGAGAAUAGGGGAAGCAUAUAACAUGAGGAGGACGACGGUAACAAAAUAGGAAAAGGCGAAAAACAGCGGCGUUUCGCGCUUCGAAAGAGCGAGCGCGAGAGGGCCGAGCUGUCGCGCCGCGCCGGCGCAGCAGCCUACGCGGUGCACGACGGCCGGCAGGUGGCCCGGCAGAGCGCGCCCCGCGCCCGCCGCCGCUACCCCAGCAGCCGCCCCCGCCCCCGCUCCCUGGGCCCGCCCUUGGGCUGCCACCCCUCCGACGCCCUCUAGAAGGCCCCGCCGCCGCUGCGCCGUCUACCGACCCUCUUCAGGACCCUCUGACCGCAUUGGGGCACCCUAGACCCCUUCGGCUGCGGAUAGUAGCUCGUAGAGCAAUUUAGUCCUUGAGAGGGAUUUCCUUCCCGCAACCAGGGCCCUACACCGUACCCAAUACUACACCAACGAAACCGUUCGGGACUCUCUAAACAGCAACCGAAUCUCUAAAGAUUAUAUCGACGACUCUUCCGAUUCGUCCACUCUACAUUGACUCAUUCUCGAACUAACCGUCGAUUCCACUCGAAUAUUGUGUUACAAUCAACGAAGAAAAUUACAAAAAAACCAGUUAAAAAGAGACGUCUUACUACUUAACAGUACAUUUGUACGAACUAUGGAAUAGAUCUUUUUUCUUAAUAAAGGUUUCACCAAGUCCAGGUAAAACACGACCCUUUCUAAUUGGCACAAAGAACCUUCGUUUUCGAAUAUACGCCUCGUACCAACACAAACUAAAUACAGUGCCCCGUUUGAUAGAAGUUUUAUCCUUUUCCUUUGGUGCACACUUCGAUUAAUGUCGUCCGUUGGUAUAUAGAAGAUUUUACUACUGACCGAUUCCUACGAUGGAGAUUAAAAAUGUAAAAAUGUAAACAUGAGUACUUAAGAUUUAAAGAUUACGUUAUAACUAAUCCUACGGUUGACUUGAGUCGAGAACCAUAAACCUAACUUAACCACAAAAGUAUUCAUUAUUAGUAUUGGCCCUUAUUUAUAUUACAUGAUAAUGGUAAAUAGACUUUUUUGUAGAACAAUAGGAUCCAUGGGAAACACCACGAUUUUGAAUAUAUGUAAAUUAGCAAAAGGGACAACUACAUGGUCACCAGUAGUAGAAACGGUUUACGUCUAACCAAAUGAAAAGACCAACGACUAAAGAAGUUCACCUCUGGUUCACUUGGUAAACUGGAGUAAAAGCUAAUAUGCAAGAAAACACGUGAACUAGGCUCGUACUCCGACCGAACCCGUCUCUGUCAAUCAGCGGAAGACUUUGGUCUACCUCUCGAAUAGUGGAACUAUAUAAACUAGUCGCUAGUUCUUCCCCCCGGCGGGAUGUUAUUAUGUCAACGACUGAUAGUCUUCCACGACCUCGGCGACCCAAAGUUCCGACAAACAUACCUUCUGUUGCUCGAGCGAUAAUUUGGCGCGUUCCCACAGCUCUUUGAACCUUCCACCUUCUCUACGCCGUCCGGCGUUAGAAGAAACACUCGUAUAUACUUCCGGAACGACAUAUCAAACAUAUGUGACACAUAACACAAUCGACGACACGCGUCAAGCACUACACGUGAAGGACUUACUACGUACGCACUACACGCUAAAUGACGGAGGCAGCCUCUACUUAGCCGGCACACUUUAAAGGCACACGAGAUUUACUCGUGGCAUACCAUACCACUCUACGACACACACAAAAUUCAUACGACCGUUGAACCUCUAGGAAAACAUCCCACACUGAUCCAGAGUCAGCUGACUCUAAAUUGGUUCAUUCAGAGUCAGUUCACUGUAUUGUACGAUCUCUCUUUUUCUUUUUGAUUUUACUUUUAAAACGUGCCUAGAGUUACAUUCUAGAUUGCCUAUAUCGUAGCUAGCUCUGAAUUACUUCAGAGUCGG
rnacentral:rRNA from 1 species